AGGACGAACGCUGGCGGCGUACUUAACACAUGCAAGUCGAGCGGAAAGGCCCUUCGGGGUACUCGAGCGGCGAACGGGUGAGUAACACGUGAGUAAUCUGCCCCUAGCUCUGGGAUAGCUCCGGGAAACCGGGAUUAAUACCAGAUACGACCACUUUAGACAUCUGUUGUGGUGGAAAGAAUUUUGGCUAGGGAUGAGCUCGCGGCCUAUCAGCUUGUUGGUGAGGUAACGGCUCACCAAGGCGACGACGGGUA
rnacentral:rRNA from 1 species